AACGAACGCUGGCGGCAUGCCUAACACAUGCAAGUCGAACGCGUGUAGCAAUACACGAGUGGCGGACGGGUGAGUAACGCGUGGGAACCUGCCCAAUGGUAGGGAAUAACUGCGGGAAACUGCAACUAAUACCCUAUGCUCCCUACGGGGGAAAGAUUUAUCGCCAUUGGAGGGGCCCGCGUCGGAUUAGCUAGUUGGCGGGGUAACGGCCCACCAAGGCUACGAUCCGUAGCUGGUCUGAGAGGAUGAUCAGCCACACUGGGACUGAGAUACGGCCCAGACUCCUACGGGAGGCAGCAGUGGGGAAUAUUGGACAAUGGGGGAAACCCUGAUCCAGCAAUGCCGCGUGAGUGAAGAAGGCCUUUAGGGUUGUAAAGCUCUUUCGGCGGGACGAUGGUGACGGUACCCGCAGAAGAACGCCCCGGCUAACUUCGUGCCAGCA
rnacentral:rRNA from 1 species